UGCGUAGAUAUGCGGAGGAACACCGAUGGCGAAGGCANUCCCCUGGNCCUGCACUGACGCUCAUGCACGAAAGCGUGGGGAGCAAACAGGAUUAGAUACCCUGGUAGUCCACGCCCUAAACGAUGUCAACUGGUUGUUGGGAGGGUUUCUUCUCAGUAACGUAGCUAACGCGUGAAGUUGACCGCCUGGGGAGUACGGCCGCAAGGUCGAAACUCAAAGGAAUUGACGGGGACCCGCACAAGCGGUGGAUGAUGUGGUUUAAUUCGACGCAACGCGAAAAACCUUACCUACCCUUGACAUGCCUGGAAUCCUGCAGAGAUGCGGGAGUGCUCGAAAGAGAGCCAGGACACAGGUGCUGCAUGGCCGUCGUCAGCUCGUGUCGUGAGAUGUUGGGUUAAGUCCCGCAACGAGCGCAACCCUUGCCAUUAGUUGCUACGAAAGGGCACUCUAAUGGGACUGCCGGUGACAAACCGGAGGAAGGUGGGGAUGACGUCAGGUCAUCAUGGCCCUUAUGGGUAGGGCUACACACGUCAUACAAUGGCCGGUACAGAGGGCUGCCAACCCGCGAGGGGGAGCCAAUCCCAGAAAACCGGUCGUAGUCCGGAUCGCAGUCUGCAACUCGACUGCGUGAAGUCGGAAUCGCUAGUAAUCGCGGAUCAGCGUGUCGCGGUGAAUACGUUCCCGGGUCUUGUACACACCGCCCGUCACACCAUGGGAGCGGGUUCUGCCAGAAGUAGGUAGCCUAACCGCAAGGAGGGCGCUUACCACGGCAGGGUUCGUGACUGGNNNNAAGUCGUAACAAGGUAGCCGUAUCGGAAGGUGCGGCUGGAUCNCCUC
rnacentral:rRNA from 1 species